ACACGCCCGCCAUGAAGCAGCUGGUCUCCGACGCGGUAGAUAGCAACGCCCUCAGCGGUGUCUUCGCGACGGCCGCGACGGCAGCACCAGCUGCCAUCGAGGCAGCCAUCCAGCGGAAGGCCGAAGAGACCCAACGGGCCGAAGCCAAGUACUCCACCUGGCCCCAGUUCCUCGCCUCUUUCGUCGUGAACCUGAACACGUUCGCGUACGGAGCGGGCGUGGGCUGGACGGCGAUGGCGCUGCCGCAGCUGCAGUCCUCUGAGGCGGGGCUGCGCGACCCGCCGCUGACGACCGACGAGGGCUCCUGGGUGUCGUCGCUGCAGCCCAUCGCGGCGCUCGUCUUCACUCCGCUCUACUGCGGCCUGACGGCGAGCAUCGGCCGCAAGGCGCUCGGCUACCUCACCAUCGCGCCGCUGCUGCUCACCUGGAUACUCAAGAUAGCCUCCUCCUCCACCACCGUCCUCUAUGUCGCCAGGGUGCUGGCCGGGGUGAACGCGGCCGGGACGCUGGUGCUGCCCUCUAUCUACGUGAGCGAAAUCGCCAGCGAUGACGUGCGCGGCGCGCUGGGCAGCUUUCUGGCGCUCGCCGGCAACUCGGGCGUCCUCUUCGCUUACAUCGUUGGCGCUUACCUUACUUACGACGUCGUCCUCUACGUCUGUCUCCUCCCAGUGGCACUCUACGUCGUCACCUACUUCUUCAUGCCAGAAACUCCGUACUGGUUAACGAGUGCUCGGAAGUACGAAGACGCCAAGAAGUCCCUCCGCUGGCUGCGCCGCGGGAUAACGGAGGACCAGCUGGAGCUCGAGAUGGCCCGGCUGGAGGCGUCGCUGGGCAGGGACAGCAGCGGCGGCGGCGGGGGCGGCGCAGCCCAGGGGGCGGCGGCGAGCGGCCGGCUGUGCUCCGCCGUCAGCCUGGUCGGCAUCUCGCUCGUCAUCGUGGUCGCCAUCAACCAGCAGAUGGCCGGCCUCUUCGCCGUUCUCAACUACGCCGUCUUCAUCUUCCAGGAGUCCGGCAGCUCUCUCUCACCAGAGCUCGCUACCAUCGUCAUGGGUCUGCUACAGGUGGCUGGUGGUGUUGCAUCCGCGCCGCUCAUGGACCGACUGGGACGUCGCGUCAUCUUGCUGCUUUCCAACGUGUGCGUCGGGGUCUCGGUGAUGGUGCUGGGCGUGUACUUCUACCUCAGGACGGAGACCGACGUGGACGUCUCGCUGAUCGGCUGGUUGCCCGUCACCUGCCUCUCCGUCUACCUGCUGAUGAUGGCGUUCGGCCUGGGCCCGCUGCCGUACAUACUGCUGUCGGAGAUCGUCGCCCCCCGCGUCAGAGGCGUGGCGUCCGUCCUGGCUUUCAGCGCCAUCUGGGGGUCGGCGGCGCUCAUGACCAAGCUCUACCCACUCAUGUCGGAGGCCAUGGGCGUCCACGGCACCUUCUGGUUCUUCGCGGCUAUCUGCCUCGCAUGUUCCAUCAUCGGGCUUUCAACGCUGCCCGAGACGAAAGGACGACCACUGGAGGAUAUUCUGAGAGAUCUCAGAGGUGGCAAGAAAACUGUCGACACCGUCUCCUAGUUCCGAUGAUGUUCUGUAUACGAUCUUCAUACACGGAAAAAAUGUACUGCAUCACUCGCAGAUGAUUUCCGGGACGGUAUGCUCUACAUACGUCAACUGGACGGCUUCGUUGUACCCAAGAUGCGUCUGUCGAACUCCGUCCAGAGCACGCUUUGAUGAUUUUCCAGCAACAUUCAACGAAUGACAAUGAACUCGCAAACAGAUAUCACAGUUCUUUGUCCAAGCAUUUCAGUCUGUUUUUCGGCUAUAUUUAUAUAAUUUUCUUAUAGCAUUUGGAACAAGUUCCCUUGUGAGUAUAAACGAAAGUUUAAUUUCUCCACACAUCUGUUGCAUCGGCCGACGAGCUUGUGUGUCCCUGCUGCAAAGGAUAUUCCGCGUAGCCCCUGAUGCCAGAUCUAUAACGCUGUGGUGAAUUGAGACCGUGAAGCGUGUCAUCGACAGACAAAAAAAAGUGACAGUCUUCCUGCGCUAAGCGGGGUUUGUAAGAUGAAUGUGAAAUAAUCCACUGUGUAGUAUUGUUCCUGCUGUGUGGAGAAAUGUGCUGUCUUGAUGCAACAAGACUUCUUCGGACGACAUUGAUCUUCGUUUGUUUCAAAUCGGAGAAGUGCAGAGUAUCCGGAAUGUAUUUUUACUCUGCGGCACAGUACGCGCUGAUCUGAAACUUCCUUGCAAAUUAAAUCUGUGAGCCACCUGGACUCAAACCCGGCACCUUCGCCUUUCACGAGCAACUGCUCUACCGACUAAGCUUUCCAUGCACGAUUCACAACCAGCUCUCACUGCCGCCGCAGGAGAACAUCUGUGAUGUCUGGUAGGUUCUAGAUCAGGUACUGGCAGAAGUAAAGCUGUCAGAGAGGGUCGUGAGUUGUCGUGGGAUAACUCAGUAGCUACGUCACUUGCCUGUGAAAGAUGAAGCUCCCAAGUUCGAGUACAUGUCCGGCACUCAGUUUUAAUUGUCAAAAGAUGCUGUCUGAUUUGAAAUACUUUAGCGACGACAAACCUUAAAAUGUGCUGGGUUUUAUCCACUUGACGUUUAGUACAUGAGGUCAGCGUUAAAUGAACAUGGUUUACUACCAAACAAAAUGUUUAAGAUCAUAAGAUGACAGCUAAGACUGUAGAAAGUUGCUGUCUUCAAUAAAAAAAAAAUUGUGUGAUCUUGGAGUUUCAAUAGUUUUUAGCAAAUAAAACAGACUGCCCUUCAGUAUUCCCAUAAUGAGAAAAUUCAAUCACACAGUUUUAAUCUGGCAGAAAGUUUCAAGCGUAGAGUAUCUCCACUAUAUCUGUCCAUCGAUAUAGUAUUUAUAUCACGUUUUUUCUCGAUGGUGCAGCCUCGUAAUGGAGAACCGGUAUGUCUGCCGUUGUAUCGGGAGGAAGAUUCGGAUUUAGAGCCACGUCCACAACGCGGUCAUUGCAGACUUAGAACAAGUCUGUGGUCGAUGUGAGAAAAGAAAUCAUCCAUCCUUUCAUCAGAGACAUCAUCCCGUCAUCUACAUGACAUAACUUGCGGAAACCACGAAUACACCAAAUCUGGAUGGCCGGACAGAGAUUUGAACAGUCAUCCUACAGAAGUCGAGCAUUUUAGUUCCAGUGACUAGUCAUAUAUGGGGUAUCCCCUAGUGACAUACAAGUUAAUGUGUUAAUCACUCAGAGGUAACCGUAUUUCCUAAUGGAUUUCUUGCCGUAUAUCGUAGAAUUAUAAUUGAUAUCAUUAUCUUCUUGUGAAAAUUUGUUCCUGUGUUGUAUCAUGUGCAAAUCUGAAUAAAGUUCUUUGUUACUUUCGUAAA